AUGAAUUUGAGGAAGUGAAUAUCGUGAAACCAAAUGAUGAAUUUUAGCAGCCUCACGAUUCAGAUGGUGGUGCAAAUUGGUGACAACGUACAUUCUGGCAACAUCUAAUCCUCAACAAAUAUCUGUAUACUUGUAAACUGGGAAUUGAUUGACCUGCAUCUGGUUCUUCUAAAAUACUCAGAUAGCCUUGAGUUUCAUGCUGUAGGGAAGUUUGUGAUAUCAUUGCGGUUCUGUUUAGCAUUAUACUGUUCAAGAGAACCACUUCUUAUGAUUUUUGCAACGAUGAGAGCUCUGAG
rnacentral:misc_RNA from 1 species